GGUGCAUGUAUGCCGGUCUAAGUUGCUAGCUCGGCUGGCUAGCAUCGCAAUCAACCAUGGGCGAGGUCGGAAUUUCAAAUUGAGACUGUCGGGACGCUUUUUUGGGAUAUAUACAAGGGUUUGUAGACAGUUUAGGCAUACGCCACGGCGGACUGCUCGUUCGCUGCUGGGAACCCUCGUAUUCUUUCUAUAUUUAGGAUAGGUACGAGGGUUCGCGAACAGCCUACGCAUACAUGGACGACGUAAGGGGGCUGGUUGGAUCGUUUUUUCUCUCUUGUUCGUUCACUGACAUGACACAUCCAUGAACAUAUGGGGAAUCAUUUAAGGAAUCCAGUUGUAGACGCGUAUAAUUUGUCAAAGGUCUAAUGCAGUUCGAGCAGCAUGUAAUGGAUCCAUGGACAAGCAAAUUACUCCGGUUCCCUCCCACUAGACUGACAACAUCCAGACACUCGACUUGCUCCACGGACCUGUACACGCGCGCGCGCACAUACCACCAUCGGGUUCCUGUUCCUGUUUCUGUUUCGAGACCGACCUUUCGCUCUCACUCCCCCGUCCCGACGAUCCCCGUCGAAUCGUAACCGAAGGCCGGGGGAUUAAUUAGGAUCCUUUCUUCGUCCUCGACGGCCACACGGGCGGAUGGAGCUAGGUCUAGGUCGACGGAGCUAACCAACUUUGCUGCCUCUAUACGCCGAAAAUGUGGGGAGACGGCUCUGCCUCCCCGUCAACAUAAAAGAGAGACGGCAACCCGCUGGUCGGAGCCCAAAUGGCUUAUUAUAUGUUGCCACUUGCCAAGUGAUGAGUAGCAUCAAGAUCAGGACUGAUCGAGACUGACAAGCUGGUCUUAGUAGCAGAAUUUGCAGGGACUUUCAGUCUACAACGGUUAUCUUCUCUGUCCUUGUAUGUGUUUCUUUUGGUUUACACCAUCUAAGAUCACAAUAAUAGUUGGCUACACAUUUCAAUGCAAACAUGUUUAUUUAGCAAUCAGGAUGAAUCUGUUGACAUAAGUUUUACGUGAGGUAUCUUAGUGCUUAUUCUUAAAGUGAUUAUUUAUCAAGGCUUUGUAUUGCCCAAACAAAUUCGCUUCGUAUUUCCGGAUUGAUGAAAUAUAUGUAUGAACUUUUGUUGAGGACCAAAGGCCUGUAACAGACAUGUGAAAAUUAUAUGACUUGAACAUAUACCAGCUCUUUUAUAAAUUCCAAUAGCCCAGGAAAUAUGUGAAUAUCAAUGUAGUACUUAAGUUCCUAAUUUCAAGAGCUGGUUAUGGUGAGGCUCCCCCACAUUAGGUGGCUGGACAUUGGGGUUCUUGCGUCGAUUCUUUGGACAAUCCGUGAUAAACUCGUGAUUUAGCGCACGCCUCUUCGGCAAUAUUUUGACACAAUCUAUAAAAUAUGUGUUUACUUGCAGCUUUGAUGGCUGCUUAGCCAGGUGUCGGAUUGAGACGCCAUCGACAUCCUCAUUACAAAUCUUCGGGCGAUGGCUCAUUGUUUGGCCCCUUCGCUUUCCCAUCGCCUCCUAAGCUGGAUUAGCCUUUGGAACUCCGUGACCUAGCCUGUGGGCGUGGCGUGGUUGUGUCGGGUUCACACCUUCGUGUCCUCUGUUGUUUAUUUAGGGUUUGUUGAGUUAUGUCCUCAGCCGAACCCUCAUGCAC
rnacentral:lncRNA from 1 species